CCCAAAUCAGCAAGGCUUUUUUCAGUGAACCGUGUUUGUGAACAGAGGCUACUUUCUGCUGUGAAGUCAUUGUGUGAUAAAGCUUUCGGACGCAGAUGCAUCGAGUCUGAGGAGAGAUACAUUACUCCUCCCUCACAGUAGUUGGGAUGUAUUGACAGCAAUAAAUGUAGGACUAUCUCCAUAAGUUUACAAGUGAAGACAAGCAUCAAAUCAUCAGAAGAGCUGAAAUCUGUAAAGACUGAGUUUAUUAAAGAGUACAGAGAGAAGAUGAGCGAUCCAGAGCCCUGCAGAAUCAAACACACUGAAGAUACUCAAGAACAAACAGAGGACUGUGAGGGAAUGGAGUGUGUGAAGCUCCUCGUCACCUGUUCACUUCUUAAAAUAAAAGACUGCAAACAGUGACAUGUAUGGACUGCUGUUGGAGUGGGUGGGUGGUAUGUAUGUAUAUUAUAUAUAUAUAGGAACAUGAGGCCAGACUCCACAGCUGCUCUGCAGACCGACUCAGCACCUCAAGACUUUGAGAGUGGUUUUCACAGAGCCAGAAGAAAUCAUACCACCGGCAGUGAGAAUGUGAUAAAAAUAGCAUUUAACACAUUCAGACCUGGGCGAUUUCAAAGUGUGGCAUGUGACCAAGUAUGUUAACCCAUACUCAGAAUUCAUUCUCUGCAUUUAACCCAUUUGAGUGUACACACACACACGCACGCACGCACACUUGGUAUAGAGGGUGGAGAGAGCACUGGUUGACCCACCUACAAUUCCUGCUGAAUCUGAGACUCGAGCCCGCUACCUUUAGGUUACAAGCCCGCCUCUCUAACCAUUAGGCCACGACUGCCUCCUGACUGUUUGUGUGAUCAAUGUUUAGUUUAAAAAAAAAAACUGUUAUUGAAUGUCAGGUCAAAAGUCAAGUUUAAGAUCUGUGAUGGGAAUUGAUAGGAAUCGAUAUGAAGUGUUGCUGCUGCAAUUUCAUUUACAUUUCAGGUUUAUUUGUAUAGCACUUUUCACAAUACAAAUCAUAGCAAAGCAGUUUUACAGAAAAUUAAAUUUAGACAAUAUAUUUAGUAGUAGCUUAUCAGUGGUAACUGUCAAAUUAAUGUACAUAUGGCAGAAAUGUACGGUAAAAUUCAGUUGAUGACGUAAUCAAACAGACGAUGAACACUAUUAACAGCAAUGAUUAUAUGUUGCAGUCAAACUACAAAGAGCCAUUGUUCACUGAGAAGCUACGUAAUAUAUGAUUGUGGUUUUACGCAGUUUAUUAGUGAACAAUGGCUCUGUGUAGUUAAUGCUACUCCAUCUGAAAGCACGAAGGUGAUGGAGAUUUACCAUUGAUUACAGAACCAUUACUAAAUAACUGUCACUGCAACAAUGUUUUAUCAAAAUAUUGGUCAAAUAUCGAAGCUAGAGUCUAAACUUUCAAUUGAUGCACAGUUUGUCCAGAUCAAGUAAGAGAGUGAUGUUUAACGUGCUGUAAAAGUGAAACAAUAAUAAACUGAGGCCGUCGGCAAUGCUUGCACGUAAAGGAGUUAAAGGUCUUACUGAAGACUAUUAUGUCGUCAAGAUAUACUAAAGUCUUGGACCAGUGGAGGUCACGGAGAGCAAGCUCCAUCAAUCUCUGAAAUGUUGGGGGGGCAUUAGUAAGACCCAUUGGCAUGACCUUAAAGCUGCAGUAGGGAACUUUUGACGCUCUAGCGGUUAAUAAACAGAACUGCUUGCGUCUUGCGGAAGAACAUCGUAGCUGGAACUACUUCUCUCUGUUUAUGUCUAUGAAGAAUCACAAAGGUAGUGUGUUUCUCCGCCUCGCUAUCCCCGAAGCAAUCUAAAAUAGUCAGAAUAUAAACACUUAUUAUAGGUGUACCCUAGUGAUUCAGGACAAGCUAAAAACACGGUUUGGAAAAUGUAUCCAUGAUGUACUCACUUAUUAUGUAAAUAUUUCUACAUUUUGAACACAAACAAAGUUACGGACCGCAGCUCUGAUUGGUUGAUUUCUUACCGGGAGCGGAUUACUUUCUGCAAAUGGUAAUAGGACACUGGGAGGAGCCAGAGGAGCUUGAAUUUAUUUUCACAGAUUAUCUGUCUCAUAUUCUACUGUCAGGACAUAAUGACAGGUUUAACAAAUAUGUAAAAAAUAUAUUUUUACAAAAGUUCCCUACUGCAGCUUUAAAUUGAAAGAGGGAGUCACCUGUAGUAAAGGCAGUUUUCUCCUUACCAGCAUCAUCCAUUUGAAUUUGUCAAUAGCCACUGGACAAAUCUAGAGUACUAAACAAGGUGGCUCCAGAAAAGGCGUCUAAACUGUCGUCCACACGUGGAAGUGGGUGUGGAUCUUUGAUAGUAAUUGAGUUCAAUCAUCUAUAAUCAAUCCAAAAUCUAUAAGAGCCAUCCGUCUUACGGACAACUAUUUCCGGGGAAGCCCAUGGACUAUGAUAAGGCUCAAUUAAGUCAGCAUCAAGAAGUUUCUGUACUUGGUUGUCGAUUUCCUUUCGUAGGACAGGAGAUAUACGGUAUGCUCUCUGACGUACAGGGGAUGUAGAAGAUGUCUGUAUGCUAUAAUUAAUCAAAUCAGUUCUACCUAGAUCCCCAGAGGUAGUGCUAAAGACAUCACAGUUCUCUUGUAGGAGGGAGUUAACUACUUCUGCCUCACUUGGAGUAAGAGUGUCAGUACCAAUUUGAACAUCAGGUAUUUGGCAUGAAAGGCUCUGUAGGCUAACCUGAGCCAAAAGACUAUCCAUAGGCCUAUAAAAAUCAGAAGGCACAUUACGCACAGUGUAGAAUUGACCUAAAUGGGUCUGUUUGGGCAGCUCAAUAUCCUGGUGUGUAGGAUUAAGUAAAUGAACUACAGUGAGCCCAUUUUCAACAUUUUCAACAUUUCAACAGUCAAGUCUUUGUCAAAUGUCACAUUCAGUUCUAGAAUACCUUGAAAACCAAGAAGCUGAAUUUUUGUUUCUGAGUUGCAUGCUACUGAAGCAGGAACAAUCUCUGUCAAGGGGGGGACUGACACCUGUGAAAGCAAGAACACAUUACAGCAAAAGGGUAAUGCAUGUGAGGAACUGAGAAGGGAAAUUUUCUCAUUAUUGAACAUAAAAGUACCAGAGGCUGUGUCAUUUGAGGCACCAUGUGUUUUGAAAAAGUCCCACCCAAGAAGGGCAUCCUGUCUAGAGUCUCUUACAACAUACAUGUUCAUACUGAAUGUGUGUAACCCAAGACGUAAUGUGACAGGUAAUGAGCCUAAAAUGUCUAAUUGUUGUCCUGUCAGUGUGUGUGCCAACUGGAAACUUCAGUAAGGGGCGGUGUUUCAGUGCAGGGAUGCGUUGAUGUAAGGCCUCACUAAUGAGUGACAAACCAGCACCAGUGUCAAGAAAAACACUGACUUCUUGGUCCUCAAUGAGUCCUUUUAUGUACAGUGUCCAGAUUGCAGAGUCUGAAGAUUUCACUGUGUUGUCGCUAUGGGCCGCUGACAGUUGAACUGAAGAUUGGCCCUAAUCUCCAGCUACCAUUCGUUUCCCGACUGCUGCUGUUCGGUGAAGCAUACAUGGUGUGAAUUUGGUCGUUGUGGACUUGGAGAGCUAUGUCUGUAAUACUGCUCACCCCUCUGUCGAUCUCAGUUCUUGCCUGGACUGCUGUCGUCGUUUGAUUGAUGCCUAUAGUUGGGCUGAGCAUCGUAUGCAGCAAAUCCCCGCUGAGGACUAAAGUGAAUAUCUCGACUGUCAUAGUGUAAGGAUCUUUCAUAGCCUUGCUGCAGAUGAUAACUUUGCCUGGGGCUUCCUUGUGGUCUGCGAUGGCUGUUACUGGAACGUACAGGAGAUCUACCUCUGAAGUAGGGCUCAUCGGAUGCAGUGAAAUGUUGAUAGCGAGAAGAUGACAAAUAAUGAUUGUCUUUAACUCUGUCUAGUGAGGGUGAUCGUGGACGAUAGGCAAAGUGAUGUUCUGGGGAUGAAAUGGAACUGGUAUAAUGAGACUUUGUAAUUGUAACAACAGACUGAAGUUUGUCUGCUUUCAGAUGAAGGUCAUUGAGCUGUGCUGCAAGCAUAUUGGUCGACUCUGUCGUGAGGCUGUGUACCACGGCAGGUUGAGGUGCAGCAGGCCCCGGCAGAGGAAAAGACUCAGUGGCUGCAGAACGUGCUCUCUCACACCAACCAGCUAAUUUAAUCGCAUCUUCAAGUGUAGUAACAACAAACUCAUACAGCAUAGUUUGCAAUGCAGGUUCAACUCCAGCUAUAAAACGUCACAAAAUUUCACCUUUGAUGGCUGAUUCUCCAUAGUCUGGAAAAGCUUGGUGAACAAGGCAAGUCAAUUCGGCAGCAUAGACUUCCAAUGGCUCGUUACUCAGACGUGGACUGGCAUUCAAUAACUAAAUGCAGCACCGGCCAAUCUUGAAGGAAGUACUAUGGCAAGCCGAGGUUUGUCCAUACCUGAGGUCUCACAGCAUACUUUAAAACAACGAGCCCACUGAGAAAAGCUUUCGUUGCCAUCUUCAGUGAAGUCUGGAGGUAAAACAGCUCUGAAGUGCACUUGCGGGUUUGUUACAUUGUCCUCUGCCAUGUUUGAAAAGAGUGAAGUCAAUGCAGUGUUGUAUUAGUUCAAUCCAGCAAAGUCUUUUAUAGAUAAAGAUGGUUUGCAGAUUACACUUAAUGUACUGAAGGUAGUGAAAAAAGAGAGCGCUAUUAAAUCCUGGCAAUAAGCCAACUUCUAAUAGUCCCGUUGCAUUCGUCUGCUUUUACCUAUUUUCCCCCCUCUUUCUCCGACAUAAAAAAAAAUGUAAGAAACAUAUAACUGAACAUGGAAUGAAAACUCACACGAUGGUGAAAACAACAAAACUGCUCUAAAGUUAUAAAUAGACCGUCAGAAUACAGUCCAUGUCAUUGAAAUGUUACUUAAAGCCAAAUGCGUUUCAGUCUAAAAUUAAUUCACUAAUACAAAUGAUCCAGCAUAUAUGAUGAAAGGGCAGUGAUUAUCAUAUAUUUUAGUCAUUGUCACCAUACCAGUCAAACAGCAAGAAAGACAACACCCACUGCCACCAAUAAGUAUGUAAGGCGUAGGGUUUAGAUGCCCGUAGGUUGAUAUGAAUAAAGACGAUGGACUUGAAAAUAUUGACGGCUAGUAACUUUUUAUUGAGCAAAUUCCUUGAACUGGAGGAGAGCAACACUCGUCUCCGUGCCCGCCACACUCUGCUCUCCCUCUCUUCCCGCACUUCCUUUUACAAUACAAGAUCCUCCUUCUCGGAGGACGCAAGACCAAAAUAAAAGUCUUUGGCAAAAACAUGCAGAAACAGAAGACAAUCAGUCAAUCAAUCACCUUUAUUUAUAUAGCGCUUUAAACAAAAUACAUUGCGUCAAAGCACUGAACAACAUUCAUUUGGAAAACAGUGUCUCAAUAAUGCAAAAUGAUAGUUAAAGGCAGUUCAUCAUUGAAUUCAGUUAUGUCAUCUCUGUUCAGUUUAAAUAGUGUCUGUGCAUUUAUUUGCAAUCAAGUCAAUGAUAUCGCUGUAGAUGAAGUGACCCCAACUAAGCAAGCCAGAGGCAACAGCGGCAAGGAACCGAAACUCCAUCGGUGACAGAAUGGAGAAAAAAACCUUGGGAGAAACCAGGCUCAGUUGGGGGGCCAGUUCUCCUCUGACCAAACGAAACCAGUAGUUCAAUUCCAGGCUGCAUCAAAGUCAGAUUGUGCAGAAGAAUCAUCUGUUUCCUGUGGUCUUGUCCUGGUGGUCCUCUGAGACAAGGUCUUUACAGGGGAUCUGUAUCUGGGGCUCUAGUUGGCCUGGUCUCCGCUGUCUUUCAGGGCAGUAGAGGUCCUUUCUAGGUGCUGAUCCACCAUCUGGUCUGGAUACGUACUGGAUCCGGGUGACUGCAGUGACCCUCUGAUCUGGAUACAGACUGGAUCUGGUGGCCACGGUGACCUCGGAACAAGAGAGAAACAGACAAAUAUUAGCGUAGAUGCCAUUCUUCUAAUGAUGUAGAAGGUACAUAGGGUGUUAUGUGAAGUGUUUCCGGUUUCCGGUUCCGGUUUACCUAAUU